GCCAUAUCACCCUGCAACUCACAACUGGCAACCCACUGAAGCUAAGCAGGUGUGAGCCUGGUCAGUACCUGGAUGGGAGACCUCCUGGGAAAAACUAAGGUUGC
ensembl:rRNA 5S_rRNA 5S ribosomal RNA